UGUUGCUUGCGCUGGCAGAAUGUGCAAGAGAUAACGCGCAGCAGCUUAAAAACCAAGAACUAGAAAAUUCUGUCUUCUGAACAACUGAGUGGGCACACCAGCUGGCAGUCCAACAACAUGACGAUGAAUCCAUUCCUGCUUUUCACGCAGGUAUUGCUACUUGGAACGACAGAGACGGCCAGUGUAACGACUGAAGCUGUGUGACGAGUUGGUUCGGCGCACUCGAACGGAGUCUCCGUACAAGAACUGCCGCAUCAAGUCGACACCAACUGCUGGACACCACACGCUUCAUCAUUGUCGUCUUCACUCUACAUAAGGAAUAGGCAGGCGUGGGAUUCCUUUUGUGGACACACCGGCUGGCAGUCCAAGAACAUCACAAUGGGUCUAUUCCUGCUUUUCCCGCAGAAUCACAGAAUUCUUCUGUUGGGCACAUGUGGGCCUUCAAAAGCUUAGUUCAAGCCGAGGAUGCCACUCGAGUCCAAGAACUUCGAGCCGUCACCUGAGGCCACCACAUCAAGAACUGCCGUUCUAUUCUUUAAUAAAGUUUCUUCUUCUUCUUCUUC